rnacentral:tRNA from 2 species
GGGUCCAUAGUUUCAAUGGUAAAACAUCGGUCUCCAAAACCGCAGUUCCCCGUUCGAGUCGGGGUGGACCCG